rnacentral:rRNA from 1 species
GUGGUAAUGCCGGAUGCUCCAUCACACUGCAUGGUGUGUUGGGAAAGCCUUUGCGGCAUGGGAUGGGGUCGCGUCCUAUCAGCUUGAUGGCGGGGUAACGGCCCACCAUGGCUUCGACGGGUAGCCGGCCUGAGAGGGCGACCGGCCACAUUGGGACUGAGAUACGGCCCAGACUCCUACGGGAGGCAGCAGUGGGGAAUAUUGCACAAUGGGCGCAAGCCUGAUGCAGCGACGCCGCGUGAGGGAUGGAGGCCUUCGGGUUGUAAACCUCUUUUGUUAGGGAGCAAGGCAUUUUGUGUUGAGUGUACCUUUCGAAUAAGCACCGGCUAACUACGUGCCAGCAGCCGCGGUAAUACGUAGGGUGCAAGCGUUAUCCGGAAUUAUUGGGCGUAAAGGGCUCGUAGGCGGUUCGUCGCGUCCGGUGUGAAAGUCCAUCGCUUAACGGUGGAUCCGCGCCGGGUACGGGCGGGCUUGAGUGCGGUAGGGGAGACUGGAAUUCCCGGUGUAACGGUGGAAUGUGUAGAUAU